rnacentral:rRNA from 1 species
GACGAACGCUGGCGGUGUGCUUAACACAUGCCAGUCGAACGGUAAGGCCCUUUCGGGGGUCCACGAGUGGCGAACGGGUGAGUAACACGUGAGUAACCUGCCCUCAUCUCUGGGAUAACAGUCGGAAACGGUUGCUAAUACUGGAUAUGAGCUUGCAAGGCAUCUUGUGGGUUGGAAAGAUUUUUUUGGUUGGGGAUGGACUCGCGGCCUAUCAGCUUGUUGGUGAGGUAGUGGCUCACCAAGGCUUCGACGGGUAGCCGGCCUGAGAGGGCGACCGGCCACAUUGGGACUGAGAUACGGCCCAAACUCCUACGGGAGGCAGCAGUGGGGAAUAUUGCACAAUGGACGGAAGUCUGAUGCAGCAACGCCGCGGGCGGGAUGACGGCCUUCGGGUUGGAAACCGCUUUCAAUUGUGACGAAGCUUUUUGUGACGGUAGCAGUAGAAGAAGCACCGGCUAACUACGUG